GGGGGCGUAGCUCAGAGGUAGAGCGCCCGGCUCCAGACCGGGUGGUCGGGAGGUUCGAAUCCUCCCCGUCCCCACCA
rnacentral:tRNA from 1 species